rnacentral:SRP_RNA from 1 species
GCCGGGCGUGGUAGUGCACGCCUGUAAUCCCAGCUACUCAGGAGGCUGAGGCAGGAGAAUCGCUUGAGCCCGGGAGGCGGAGGUUGCAAUGGGCCGAGACCGCACCACUGCACUCCAGCCUGGGCGACAGAGCGAGACUCCGUCUCAA